rnacentral:rRNA from 1 species
AUUGAACGCUGGCGGCAGGCCUAACACAUGCAAGUCGAGCGAGCGGCGGACGGGUGAGUAAUGUCUGGGAAACUGCCUGAUGGCGGGGGAUAACUACUGGAAACGGUAGCUACUACCGCAUACCAUCAGAUGUGCCUAGAUGGGAUUAGCUAGUAGGUGGGGUAACGGCUCACCUAGGCGACGAUCCCUAGCUGGUCGGAGAGGAUGACCAGCCACACUGGAACUGAGACACGGUCCAGACUCCUACGGGAUGCAGCAGGGGGGAAUAUUGCACAAUGGGCGCAAGCCUUAUGCAGCCAUGCCGCGUGUGUGAAGAGGGCCUUCGGGUUGUAAAGCACUUGCAGCGGGGAGGCGUUACCCGCAGAAGAAGCACCGGCUAACUCCGUGCCAGCAGCCGCGGUAAUUC